rnacentral:rRNA from 1 species
UCAUGCCCGAGAGCGUGGGUAGCAAACAGGAUUAGAUACCCUGGUAGUNCACGCCCUAAACGAUGUCGAUUAGCUGUUGGGCAGCAUGACUGCUUAGUAGCGAAGCUAACGCGUGAAAUCGACCGCCUGGGGAGUACGGUCGCAAGAUUAAAACUCAAAGGAAUUGACGGGGACCCGCACAAGCGGUGGAUGAUGUGGAUUAAUUCGAUGCAACGCGAAGAACCUUACCUGGUCUUGACAUGUGCGGAACCCUCCAGAGACGGAGGGGUGCCUUCGGGAGCCGUAACACAGGUGCUGCAUGGCUGUCGUCAGCUCGUGUCGUGAGAUGUUGGGUUAAGUCCCGCAACGAGCGCAACCCUUGUCAUUAGUUGCCAUCAUCAAGUUGGGCACUCUAAUGAGACUGCCGGUGACAAGCCGGAGGAAGGUGGGGAUGACGUCAAGUCCUCAUGGCCCUUAUGACCAGGGCUUCACACGUCAUACAAUGGUCGGUACAGAGGGUAGCCAAGCCGCGAGGUGGAGCCAAUCUCACAAAACCGAUCGUAGUCCGGAUUGCACUCUGCAACUCGAGUGCAUGAAGUCGGAAUCGCUAGUAAUCGCAGGUCAGCAUACUGCGGUGAAUACGUUCCCGGGUCUUGUACACACCGCUCGUCACACCAUGGGAGUGGGGGAUGCCAGAAGUAGGUAGGGUAACCGCAAGGAGCCCGCUUACCA